rnacentral:lncRNA from 1 species
AGAAGUGUACAUGGUUGGUGACUGAGACCCACCCUGGAAAUGGCCUCCUGGCAUAGCGAUAACGCUUUGUCUCCUUCCUUCCUAGCUCGGCCUACAAAAAAAGUGUCAAUAAUCAAUGUUGUUCUCUGUUUUAAAGAAUGAACUUUUGUUAUAGGAAGCUGAGGCAACAAAUUAAAGAAAAUCAUUCAAAGCAACACAAGGGUUACCUGCAAUAGGCAUCCCUAAUUUUGAACUGAUAGACUAGAGAGAAGGCAGCUAAUCAACAGGACCUCACUAACUCUUGGGUUAUUCUGAUCAAGUAGUUUUAUUUUACUGCUACUCUUAUAAUGCACCCAUAACAAAGGAUUCAAGUUCAGGAGUACUCACCACAACCAAAAGAUAAAGUUUAUGGAAGCAAGAGCAACUGGGGGUCGUCAACAUGGAAUUUGGCACUUCAAAAGGUCUCCACAUGACUCCCAAGCUGUUGGAAGCCAGUGCAACUCAGCCCCAGCUCUGGUCCAAACUAUGGACAAUCAACCAAGAAGGACUGGACAUGCCACUGGUGGAUGACUUCCACCAAUUAGAAUCGUUUCCCCAGCAAGUGAGACAGUGGAUACCCAAGGAUCACAGCUAGGACAAUCGGGUAAUUAUAAUAUUGCUUACUGAAAUGUUGUAGCGGACUUUGCUUUCUGAGUCUCUUGUAGUAGUACAAAAUACAGUGUAUGUAUUAUACCAUAUGGUUACUGCUCAAUUUUCAAAGCAAGGAUGGUCAAGUAGUUGAAAUAAUGCUGACCAAAAGGGCAUCAUGAUCACUUGCUUUCUGAGCUUUCAAGCAGUAGUGGAAGUGCAAUGUAUACACUACAUUAUGGAGGUUUUGCUCAAUCAUCAAUGCUAGAAUGAUCAUUAGGUCAAGUGUCUAAUGACUGAAAAGAAGUGGCAUUCCUUGUUUUCCAUGCUACUGAGUGAUGCAAACUAUGAUCUAUACAUUUUUAGACACAACUUUGUUAGACGCAAAGUUGAAACUGUUGUAUGGUAAGUAUCCUAGUUACUAAUAUGGUAAAAAAAAAUUUCCAGUAACAGAAAAUACUCCAACUUAGGGACCAUGAAAUAUUAAAUUUAUCUAGUUAAAUAAAACAUUGCAUCUUAGUAAUAGAAGUUUGAAAAUUGACUCUCAAUGACUAUAAUUCGUCAUAAUCAGAUAGUCAAAAGAAAAUUAAACUUAAAUGUUUGAAGCUUGUUAGUCUAGUCUACUAAAAAGGAAAUACUACUUUCACUGGGCUUUGCUAAGUAAAUUUAACAGAAGAUAAUGCUAAGAACAUAUCAGUUUCAUCUGAGAGAAGGAAAGAUUAACAUUAAUUCAGUUAUAUGGUCUUGUUAUUUUUUAUUUCUAUAUCUAUGAUUCAAUAC